UCUCCGUAGGUGAACCUGCGGAGGGAUCAUUACAGAGUUCAUGCCCUACCGGGUAGAUCUCCCACCCCAUGUUAUUAUUACUUCGUGGCUUUUGCUGGCCGCUGGGCUCCAGCCCGACCACCGGUGCCGGCCGGUAAACGCCCGCCAGAAGACCCAAAACCUUGACUAUUAGUGGCGUCUGCGUACUAUAAAAUAGUUAAAACUUUCAACAACGGAUCUCUUGGUUCUG
rnacentral:misc_RNA from 1 species